UCUUACUAAAGUGUUUGAUCUGACCUUGCUAAAUGCAUCCCGGGGGAAAGUUUACAUAUGAAGGAAUCUGGAAUCAAUACUCAGAAAAGGAAAAUACCAAGAUGAGACACAACUGAUGCUGAAAGAAGAUGAAAGCUUCAUUAUGGAUGCACUGCACUCACAUCCAGGAUAAAGAGGGAACGGGAUGUGGUGGAAUGGGAAGAUGCAUAUUCAUCGCAAUACCAAAGACUGAACAGGAGAGUGGUCUGCACAAUAGAUGAUGAAUGUCAAUGACCCCACAGCCCUAGCUUCACCCUUGGGAGAGUACAAUUCCAAAGGAUGAAGAUGGAUAGAGAAUCAAUACAGAGACCUUCUUACGGCAGCUGCCCCGGAUUUCUCUUAACCCCAGUGAAAGCAUUUUAGAAAGCUCUCUGGAGAAGGAAGAGGUAAACUUGAAUUCAAAGAACAAAUGUUUUACAGUAUAUUGAUAUUGGUUUAGGAGAAAAAAUAGAGAUAGAGUAAAAAUAGAGUAAAAAUAUUAUUAAUGCAAGGACAUAAAAAGUAUACUGGUUAGAUCAGGGGAGAAGGUCAUUGCUUACUGUAUUUCCUAUGAAGGAGAAGCAGUGAAGAAGACCAGUGAGGCUGGUAAAGUAUAAACAUUCUGAUGUCUUGACACAAGCAGCAAGUCCUUCAUUCUUUUAAGCCCUGAUUGCUCCUGUCAGUACUAUUCCAUCUUCUCUAGAGUAAUGUCUUUUGUUUCCCAAUGAACCUUACAGUACAUCAUUUAUACAUAACCAUACUUAUUAGAAGAGUAAUCAUCUUAAUCUAACAAUGUCUUAGUCUAACAAUGUCUAGGUUUUUCACAAAUAUUUCAGUAAUUACUGUAUAUUAACACAGUAAUGUGUUGUAUUGUAUGUUUCCACUGCAUAGUAAAGUGUUUUUUAAAUAGCAUGGAUGUUGAGACGCACUAAUUCUCUGAAUUUCGUGUACC